CAGUAGCCGCGGUAAUACGAAGGGUGCAAGCGUUAAUCGGAAUUACUGGGCGUAAAGCGUGCGUAGGCGGUUUCUUAAGUCUGCUGUGAAAUCCCCGGGCUCAACCUGGGAAUGGCAGUGGAUACUGGGAAGCUAGAGUGUGUCAGAGGAUGGUGGAAUUCCCGGUGUAGCGGUGAAAUGCGUAGAGAUCGGGAGGAACAUCAGUGGCGAAGGCGGCCAUCUGGGACAACACUGACGCUGAGGCACGAAAGCGUGGGGAACAAACAGGAUUAGAGACCCCUGUAGUCCCUGUCUCUUAUAC
rnacentral:rRNA from 1 species